AAUCCAUCCCUAACUACUGGAAAAACCAAAGCUUUGACUAGACAGACCUUUGUCGGCAAAGUAAGGGGUCUGCUUUUUAAUACAAAUAAGCAACUGAACAACAACAAAAGGGUUCUGAGUAGAAAUAAAGGAGCUGUCUUUGUCCCACAACUGGCAGUUACUGGAUGCUGGUCAGCAAGUCUAAAGGCAAAGCCAUAGCUCACACAAAGCCAACUAUGGAACCUUGGGCCCUGUUAAUAACUUACACAGAAUCUUCAGUGUAUGUAUGGCCAAAUGGUAUUUGUAUUCUUGAAUGCCACACUUCUGGGUACAUUCUCAAUAUCUGACAGCACAGAGUCUAAAACAAACAGUCUAAAGGAGAAUUUCAUUGUGUAGGUAAUUUCAGAGCAUCCUUGAGGUCAAGAAAUAAAAUGUUGGCCAGAUAGCUCAGAGGUCAAGAUCUGGGCAAGUGUUUUUCACUGCCUCCAGCUACAACUACUCCUGGUGUUCAGAAAGGCUUAACAAGAAUCAGGACAAUUUCUGAGUGUUUACCAGCAGCUGCCAGAAUUGUGAGUUGACAUUCUCUUAGAGCAACAUUUUUUUUUAAUUUUUUAAUUACGGGAUAGUUGGUUUAAAAUAUUGUGUCAGUUUCAGGGGUACAGCACAGAGAGCAACAUUAUUUGGUGUCCUGGGUGGAAGCUGUUUUCUUUUUUCUUCCCUGAAAUAAUAGCUACAAUUUAAAUAUCAUCAACGGUAAUGAUCAAAUUUGAGUUUCAUUUUAUGUUGCAAAAUUUGUUAGUCCCAGCUUACUCUACUCAUGCCAUUGUAAAUCUACUACUGCUGACUUUUAUUUAAAGGUCUUUGUGUGGGAGAUGGUUUUUCUUCAACUCUAUUUGUUACCAGGAGAUAAUUAUAUAUUCAUCAACCUAUACACAGGUAUAACUCUUACACACACAGUCAAGGAAGGACUGUCAGGCGUCCUUCUCCAUCACAUGCUGCGCAUUCCAUCACAGGUGGAUUCUAUCAGAGUUUCCCUUCUCUUGUGUCUCAAGCACCACCAAGGCAGUUGGUGACUGCUCUCACACUCACACACUACAGCAGGGAGCUGUCACCUUACUGGGUACCUGGAUCCUUGGUAUUUGCAGCUGUAUACUGGGGACCCCAGGGCAACCUGAGCUUUCCAAGGAAUUUACAUAAUAAAGGGAGAGUUUUCUGUUUUCCCAGGAAUUGGGUCAUAAUGAAAAUCAGGCCACUAGUGUACCCCCCUCAUACCUUCCAUGGAAUCGUGGGUUGAUAAGCAUUUAGGCACCAGCCGCAGGCGUGCACACCUCGGGACUUCAGUGCACAUGAAUUCAGGAUGUCUGAGAGAACACGAAACAUCAGGGACUGGGUCUGUGCUACAGUCUCAAUUGGAGAUUAGGAACCUGGGGUCCCUGAACUUUCCCCAGUGGCUCUCUGAAUAUGAAUGGGAAAAAUGAUAUCUUUAUUGCCAUUAACCUUAGUCAUAAAGUCAAAUUUAGUACUUCCUUCCACUGUGAAUAUAGGCAACAAAUCACAGUAGAAUUAGCAGUGCUUUUGAGCAUAGAAAUCACAGGUACAUUCAUAUCACAUCCAGCUGUCACAGACAUCUCAAAAUGCCAUUUACAUUCAUUACUAAUUCAAUAGUUACUUUACCCACCACUGGAUCUUGUUGUUGAAUGCAUUCAUAAUGAUGCACAUAUAUUACAGUAUAUUAACUUUCAUUAGUAUUUUUAUGACUACAUUUAACAUAUGUGGUUUCCUCUGUAUGUAAUUUUAUUUGCAGUGUGUCUCCAGGUGUCCAGAAAACUCUGGAAGAAGACUGGCCCCUGGAAGAAAUGAUCAGUAGCCCAAGGACUUCUGGUCACAGCACUGUGCAGAGAUCUUCCAGUGUUCUUCAGAAGGCCAUCCUGUCUCCAUGAGUCAUAACCAGGGCUGUUGUUCCCAGUACAUCAGUGAGCAUCAGGAAAAUAUUAAAUGCUCCUUAACUGGUUAGUGAAUAGGCACUGGUCUGAGCUCUCCGAGUGCCCUUCCACCUCUCCAGACACCCUGGCUGCAGGAAUCCCUGGAUGCAGAAUCACUGUCUUUAAGGGAGAAGGGGUUCAAGAGCCUUCCACAUGGCCUUUCCCAUGACAGCUCUUAACCCUGCAGGCCGAGGACUUGAUGUGGGAGUUACACCAAUUGCCAAGGCAGUGGAAAGAAGAACCUGAUGAACAGAGACUCCAGGGACCACCCUGGGAGGGAGGCACCAAGUCUUGACCAUCCACCGUGGCAUCACACAGCAAAAGAGAAGAAAUUCACUAAAGGGAAGUCAGAAUGACAUUAAAAUGGUAGAAUGAAUGCUUGGAGGCUGGAUGCAACACACCUAUAUACACCUAUACAACCGUUAUGCAAACAUACCUACAUAAGUUUAUUGAAAUGGAAUACACAUAUUUUUGGUCUGUCAACAAGAUUAAUUCUGUUGUGUGAGUGGCAGAAAAUCCAAAAUGGUAAUAAUAUAAACAAGAUAAUUUAUCACUCUAUUAUGUAAACAAAGUUUGGAGGUAACUCAGGGCUGUUUUAGAUAGUACUCAUGGUGUAGGGAUCAAGCUUCCUUUAUCUUGUGAUUCCACCAUCCUCCUAGUACAAGUUCUACCUCAUGGUUCAGGAUGGCUACUUGUGGUUCAGUCGUCUUGUCUGCAUUCUAGUCAGCAGGACAUUUUUCAGAUAUUGCACACAACACAUGUCUCAUUGGCCAGAACUUGGAUAUAUGACCAUAUCUACUGGUGAGCUACUGAGAAAUAGCUUUGCUUCAAAUGACCAUGUGCCUAGCUUAAAACCAAGAGUUCUAAUAUAAAUCAAGUAGGCUGGGACUUCCCUGGUAGUACAGUGGAUACGAAUCUGCCUGCCAACCCUGGGGACACAGUUUCCAUCCCUGGUCUGGGAAGAUUCCACAUGCCAUGGAGCAUGCAUCACACCCACUGAGCCUGCGUGCUGCCACUACUGAAACCUGUGUACCUAGAGCCUGUGCUCCACAACAGGGGAAGCCGCCGCAGUGAGAAGCCAGUGACUGCAAGGAGAAGUGGCCCCUGCUGGCCACAAGUAGAGAAAGCCCACACAGAGCAACAAAGACCCAGUGAAACCAAAAAUAAAAUAAUAAAUAAAUAAAUGAUUUUUUUUAAAAAGGAAAUGGAGAAUGGAAAUUGGAACACCACUAGUGGUCUUUGCCAAACAUGUUAUUUUACAAUGUAUUUUCAUUUUCAUUCAAAAAUUGUCCCACUUUUGAUGACUCUUGCCAGCUAUAGUUAUUGUAUAAUAUUCUUCCAUGUAGGUACUAUGUCUUCUAAUCCAAAACACCCAUGAAAAACAUUAGAUAACAUCAAGGAUCCAAUAUAUGGCUAGUACAGCUUAAGAAGAUUUUUUAAACUAACUUGGCUUGUCCACAUAUCUUACUACAUUAGCUGUAGUAGUGAACAUCUUUCAGCUAAGUGCAGCCUGGCUGCAAAAGCAUGCCUCCUGAAGCUAGUUCUGACUGUAGAAUUUUUAAAUUCAUGGGCACAUUUUACACCCUGCUUUAGGCAGAUGUUAACAUGCACAUGUUACCCCUGGCUACACAUCAGUUUCUAGACAGGAAUAAACUACCCAUUGCUUCUUUUUCUAGGAGGCAUAUGAUGCUGUGGUGAAUGGGGCCAUAAAUUUCUGCAGGAGAUGGAAAUCCCACAGUCUCCAUAGCGACAUCUUGAAGUCGACUGAGUGGCUGAUGAGAAAAACACAUGGUUCUCUCUGACACUCUAGGGCCUCCGCUCUGCUACUAUCCACCAUUCACCCC